ensembl:lncRNA
GCUGUCAGAGCGGCUCAGACUGGCACAACAAGAGAGGAGAGUGGGAAAGGGAAGGGAAGGAAAAAAGACAAGGAUUGGGAUCCAUGUGAGGCAGAGCCCAGAGACUACUUGGGAGACAGAAGUAGGCAGAGCCAGAUAGACAUGGACACCUUGAUGUCAGAUCUGCAGAGCUUGAGAACCUCCUCGCACCCCUUGGCGUCCGCACUCUUCCAGUCCCUGGCAACCUCCAUCCAGAUUUCUGCCCAACUGCUGAGGGAGAAUCAGGAGCUGAGGAGCAGCCAGCAGGCCAGGGAGGGAGCUGAGAAUGGCCAGCGUAAUAAGCAAGAGUGGUGGAGACCAUUUCGGACCCCGCAAGGGGGGACCACAGGUGGGCACAGAGGCAGCUGGGCUGCGUGUGGAGUGCUGGGACCCGACAGGGAGGCAGGGGAGCUUUAUCCUCUCUGGGCCCAUUGUGGAUGGUGGGAGGGGAGGGGAGGGGAGGGGGGAAGGGGAGGGGGUGCUCAGCUAAGCAGGAGCUCUUCUCCCAAGUCAAGCCGCCCCAGUCACCUGCUCUGUGUUUUCCAUGCAGCCAAUUGCAGCAGCGGCGGCAGCAGCCACGUCCAGCCAGGUUGCGUCCCACCUGCUUUUCCUCCACAGCCUGUGGUGGUCCAUCCCUCAGUCACCAAGGCCAGCCUUCUCGGAACAGCCUUCUCUGUGCAGGUCCAGAGCACGGGGCGGACCGGGGGCUGCGAGAAGCACUUUGUGGCCGACGUCUCCGAGGUCCUGGCCGGCCACGGAAUUUCUCUCUGCAUCGAAGAUGACAAAAAGACUUCAGAGGGCUUCCUGCUGAUUUUCUGCCCAAUCGCCUGCCGUGCGGAGGCGGAUAUAGAAAACGCUCUCGAGGGCCUCAGCCGCACGCGCAAGGCCAUCCUGGUCAUUCUGCACCAUAAAACCAGGGAGAGCGCCCGAGCCAUCCGGGACACCGANCGGCAGGUGAGGCACCCGGCGCUGGUGCAGACCGUGCACGCCUGCUACACGCUGGAAGAGGGAUUCUACUCCUGCGAGAUGAACGACGCUGCCNUGGCUGCCACGGCUGAUGCCAUCAGGAGCCACGCACCCUCACCCUCUUCUGGAGCAGCGAGUGGGGGGCAUGGGAGGGGGCCUCGGGAGGGCCAUGGAGCCUCUGCAGCCAGGCUUGAGGGUUCUGAGCGCAGAGAGCAGGGAUGGGGUAGUUCGUGGCUUUCUUUGCCCUGGAGCCAAAAGUAGUGGUGUUAUUCCCAUGCAGCCUUCUGCUGGGGGGCGCGUGGCCCCUUUGCCAUCCUGGGUGCAGAAUGUGANGCAGGGGGUCACCUCUAGCCAGCCCCCACCUACAGCAGGGAAUCUGGCCCUUCGAGGUAGGCUGGAGAGGCUCCCGCCCACACACACUCCCUGCAGGGGAGUGUCUCAACUCCAAUGGGUGAAGAGAAAGAUUGUGACCACAGAGAAUUAAAAUUAGGAGGCCGAGACCCUGUGCAGGGCGCCUCCUCUUGGUAGGCAUCCCACGGCUCGGCUGCUGAGGGACCGCCGUGACGCAGCCCCAGCUGGGCCUGCAUAGGCUGAAGCGCAGAAAGGGAGAGCGGCGUUUGCUGAUGGAGAGAGAGGAGGGUCUGCCAGGGCCUCUGCACACACAGGGACCGCCUGCGGGGAACGGGGCCACAGCAAGCAGGCCUGCUGUGGACUGGACUGCCCUCGGCCUUGGCAGUACUGCNUCAGCCAGCCGGUGAGAGGCAGAGUGCGCGAGAGAGACUGAUCCACGUCACGGUNGUCCUGCGGGAAGGAAAAUCCUUCUGGAGGGGUCCCCGCCAUCUGCCGACAAGAAAGGAGCCCGCUGGCAUUUCCUGUAUUCCUUUGUGCCUGGACUAAAUAAAGCCAUCUCUGCCUGAGCA